GGACUACCGGGGUAUCUAAUCCCGUUCGCUCCCCUGGCUUUCGUGUCUCAGUGUCAGCAAACCCCCAGCGAGCUGUUUUCACCAUUGGCGUUCCAAAUGAUAUCUACGCAUUUCACCGCUCCACCAUUUGUUCCGCUCGCCCCUAGGUUGCUCAAGACUAGCAGUAUACCAAGCCGUUCCACGGUUGAGCCGUGGGAUUUCACAAGGUACUUACCGGUCCACCUACACACGCUUUAAGCCCAGUGAUUCCGCCUAACGCUUGGCACCUCUGUCUUACCGCGGCGGCUGGCAC
rnacentral:rRNA from 1 species